rnacentral:rRNA from 1 species
ACGGGUGAGUAAUACAUCGGAACGUGUCCUGUAGUGGGGGAUAGCCCGGCGAAAGCCGGAUUAAUACCGCAUACGCUCUACGGAGGAAAGGGGGGGAUCUUAGGACCUCCCGCUAGAGGGGCGGCCGAUGGCAGAUUAGCUAGUUGGUGGGGUAAAGGCCUACCAAGGCGACGAUCUGUAGCUGGUCUGAGAGGACGACCAGCCACACUGGGACUGAGACACGGCCCAGACUCCUACGGGAGGCAGCAGUGGGGAAUUUUGGACAAUGGGCGAAAGCCUGAUCCAGCAAUGCCGCGUGUGUGAAGAAGGCCUUCGGGUUGUAAAGCACUUUUGUCCGGAAAGAAAACCUUCGCCCUAAUAUGGUGGGGGGAUGACGGUACCGGAAGAAUAAGCACCGGCUAACUACGUGCCAGCAGCCGCGGUAAUACGUAGGGUGCAAGCGUUAAUCGGAAUUACUGGGCGUAAAGCGUGCGCAGGCGGUCCGCUAAGACAGAUGUGAAAUCCCCGGGCUUAACCUGGGAACUGCAUUUGUGACUGGCGGGCUAGAGUAUGGCAGAGGGGGGUAGAAUUCCACGUGUAGCA